rnacentral:lncRNA from 1 species
AAUACACGUUCCAUUAUUCCUGAUCUUUCAUUCAACUCCCCAUUUACAUGGGGGCUUCCCGGACCUGAUGUUUCCCUUUUGCUGUCAUAAGUAGUCAUUGACUGGAGCCGAUCAUUUCGAAAUAACGGCCUGCUACUCUUCCACUGUUGUGAUUAACACAGGGUAAUAAUUAUUAACCACACUGAUAACUGCAGAGGAGGGGGCGGCUCCCAGGUUGCCCUGCUUUUCUGAAGCCAGGAAACUUCCCUGUCAUUCUAGUUUUUUAGAUUUAUACCACUGAGGACUGUGGCCACGAGAGGGCAGUAGAGGAAGCUUAUCAGAAUACUUGGACAGGAGUAAACUCGUGUGCGCUCUAAUCGCGAGCAGGGACUAC